rnacentral:rRNA from 1 species
ACCUACGGGGGGCAGCAGUGAGGAAUAUUGGUCAAUGGGCGGUAGCCUGAACCAGCCAAGUAGCGUGAAGGAUGAAGGUUCUAUGGAUUGUAAACUUCUUUUAUAAAGGAAUAAAGUGAGGCACGUGUGCCUUUUUGUAUGUACUUUAUGAAUAAGGAUCGGCUAACUCCGUGCCAGCAGCCGCGGUAAUACGUAGGAUCCGAGCGUUAUCCGGAUUUAUUGGGUGUAAAGGGCGUGCAGCCGGGCCGACAAGUCAGAUGUGAAAUCCGCGGGCUUAACCCGCGAACUGCAUUUGAAACUAUUGG